rnacentral:lncRNA from 1 species
AGUCGCUCGUCUCUCUCCUCCGAGCUGUAGAUCUCCUGCCGCAGCUUUUCCGCCGCCCGGAUGUAGUCCCCCCGCGCCGAGUACACCCACUGCAGGGUCAGCCCGCGGGCCUGGGGUGGGGAGGCGCGGGCUGGGGCUGGCGGCAGGGGCCAGGACCCCCGCCUAGCAUGGGGACAAGGACCCCCGCCUAGCAUGGGGAAGGGGGCUGGGACCCCUGGCCGCAGGAGGGAGGAGGUAGACGAGGACAGAGUGCUGGAGGCAGGAUGAAGGGAGUGGGGAGAAGAUCCUGCACCUGCCAGGUUGGGCGAUGGCACAUGCUGGGGGCUGGGAGACUGGAGGCAGGGGGUUAAUGGGCUGGAUUGCCAGAGAGGACCUAGACCCCAGGGAAUGCAGAGAGAAGGGGCUGGACCCCCUGGCCUGGGCAGUGCCUCCCACUCCCAGAGACCAAGAGCGGGGUGGGCCUCUUGAACCUUGAGGUCCCCAGAGAACUCGUUGAGGUUCCCGAUGUGCCUGAGGACGACGUCCCCGUAGCGGCCGAAGUCGAGGGGCAGCAGGCGAUCGUGGCUGAGCCGGAUGAGGAGCUGCCCUGCGAGCUGGGCCACGGCCUGGGCCACGGCGGGCAGGCGGCCUUGCAGCACCUUAUGCAGGUUCUCAUAAGUGUCCUCCUUUGUGUGCAGGAAUGGGUAGGCCUGGUCGUCCUGCCAGGACAGGGUGGACGCUGGGGCGGAGGCAGACAGGCUGAAGGACUAGCGCUGUGUCUGGGGCAGGGGGAGGACGUCUCACCUCCAUAAAGGAGAACUCGACGGCAGGGACUCCCACAAAGGCCGUGAAGGAAUAGGCACUGCUGUCCAUGGGUAGGGGCCGGAUCCUGGGGGCAGGUGGGUUGGAGCGAUCU